ensembl:snRNA U2 U2 spliceosomal RNA
AUCACUUCUCGGCCUUUUGGCUAAGAUCAAGUGUAAAAUUACAAUUAUGAUUAUUGAACUCCAAAGGAUUUACAGAAUGCUUUUUUUAAGUUGGUCAUAAGAGUUCUACCUUAGUUACUCAGCUUAUUGCUG